GCGAAGCUGAGAACUUAAGCGCCAGUAAACGGCGGUGGUAACUAUAACCAUCCUAAGGUAGCGAAAUUCCUUGUCGGGUAAGUUCCGACCUGCACGAAUGGCGUAACGACUUCUCGACUGUCUCAACCAUAGGCCCGGUGAAAUUGCACUACGAGUAAAGAUGCUCGUUUCGCGCAGCAGGACGGAAAGACCCCGGGACCUUUACUAUAGCUUGAUAUUGGUGUUCGGUUCGGCUUGUGUAGGAUAGGUGGGAGACUUUGAAGCGGCCACGCCAGUGGUUGUGGAGUCGUCGUUGAAAUACCACUCUGGUCGUGCUGGAUGUCUAACCUCGGUCCGUGAUCCGGAUCAGGGACAGUGUCUGGUGGGUAGUUUAACUGGGGCGGUUGCCUCCCAAAGAGUAACGGAGGCGCCCAAAGGUUCCCUCAGCCUGGUUGGUAAUCAGGUGGUGAGUGUAAGUGCACAAGGGAGCUUGACUGUGAGACUGACGGGUCGAGCAGGGACGAAAGUCGGGACUAGUGAUCCGGCGGUGGCUUGUGGAAGCGCCGUCGCUCAACGGAUAAAAGGUACCCCGGGGAUAACAGGCUGAUCUUCCCCAAGAGUCCAUAUCGACGGGAUGGUUUGGCACCUCGAUGUCGGCUCGUCGCAUCCUGGGGCUGGAGUCGGUCCCAAGGGUUGGGCUGUUCGCCCAUUAAAGCGGCACGCGAGCUGGGUUUAGAACGUCGUGAGACAGUUCGGUCCCUAUCCGCUGUGCGCGUAGGAGUCUUGAGAAGGGCUGUCCCUAGUACGAGAGGACCGGGACGGACGGACCUCUGGUGUGCCAGUUGUUCUGCCAAGGGCAUGGCUGGUUGGCUACGUUCGGAAAGGAUAACCGCUGAAAGCAUCUAAGCGGGAAGCCUGCUUCGAGAUGAGGACUCCCACCCCCAUGAGGGGUUAAGGCUCCCAGUAGACGACUGGGUUGAUAGGCCAGAUAUGGAAGCCCUGUAAGGGGUGGAGUUGACUGGUACUAAUAGGCCGAGGACUUGUCCAUAGCU
rnacentral:rRNA from 1 species